rnacentral:misc_RNA from 1 species
GAUGAAGAACGUAGCGAAAUGCGAUAAGUAGUGUGAAUUGCAGAAUUCAGUGAAUCAUCGAAUCUUUGAACGCACAUUGCGCCCCUUGGUAUUCCAUGGGGCAUGCCUGUUCGAGCGUCAUUUGUAUCUUCAAGCUUUGCUUGGUGUUGGGUGUUUGUCCUGCUCUAUGCGUGGACUCGCCUUAAAUCAAUUGGCAGCCGGUAAUCUGGUGUUGAGAGCGCAGCACAUUGUGCGCUCCUCGCUUUGUAUUGCGGCGUCCAUUAAGCCUAUACUUUUUUUGCUCUUGACCUCGGAUCAGGUAGGGAUACCCGCUGAACUUAAGCAUAUCAAUAAGCGGAGGA